AAAGCAUUGUGACGUCUUUUUAGAAUGGCUGUAAGGGACCAUAUAUGGCAUGUGGUCACAUGGUGUCUCCCACAGAAAACCUUGCGUAAAAUACUGAGGGAGCCAUUUUUCCAAUCGCUUCUUAUGAGAAACCAACUGCCUCGACGGAUAUAUUAUCGAAUAUAUUUGUUAAAAACACCUUGAGGAUGGAUCCUAAAUAACGUUUGCCGUGUUUCUGUCGAUAUUAUGGAGCAAAUUUUGAAAAAGGUUUGGCUUUAUAGUAGCAUUUUAGGUUUGAUUUCUCAGCCAAGCAUGAUGAACCAACGGGAGCUAUUUCGCCUACAAAAAUAACAUUUUUGGAAAAAAGGAACAUUUGCUAUCUCCUGAGUGAAAGCAUCUGAAGUUCUUCAAAGGCAUAUCAACUCACUGAAGCUCCCUGCAGGUCUGAGCGGGUCCCUAUCCUGCUUCGCUUAGUCGAAGUGUGGGGCUCCCUGAGCCACAUCUAACGCAGCCAAUGCGCACAGUUUAACCUCUGUUUCCCCGGGAGCAAUCAGCAAGCGGAGUUAGUCAUCCCGUCUUUGUCACCAAAUUGUUAGAAAAAUUCUAUAGGAAGAGAGACUGCAGAUAAUUUCAAACGACUGUUUUUUAAGAUUUGCAAAAAUGAAGCAAUCCAUAACAUCCAUUCAAUCAGUGCAUCAUUAGGAAAGCCCAACAAACAGAGUUGUCUCUCUACUCUAAAAGAAAAAGUACAACCUGUUGUCUAAAUGGCAGUUUAGCAGAUUGGUGGAAAGAGGGACAGAACAUGGUGUUAAAGCUGAUUUAGCUUGUCUGUUCAGAUUAAGAUAGCUGACGUUGCCACUGAUGUCUGUUCCUUUCUGCAUGUUUCCACACAUCUAAGUUCCUGUAGAUUGUGAAAACAAUCACCUAAACGGCUCUUAUCUGUACACACAGACUUAUGACUAAGUCACAUAAGACUAGCCUGUAUCAGCAAAAUUCUAACGUAUAACAAUGGACAAUUCUCAAAUAAAAACAGCAUAGUAAGUCGAAUUAAACACUAUAGUAUGUCAUGAAUUUUACAUUUCCACCACAUAAUGACGCAGUAUAACAGUGGCGUGCAGAAUGGCAUCUCAAAAAUAACCAUUUGUGGACACUUGACAUGGAUGGUUUAUUGAAACAGACGAAAAUGAGUUCUACUCCUACCAGCUAAAAACAAGAAGAAGCGGCUCCACUGGGAAAGCAAUCACCAAAACUGGACAAUUGAGAAGUGGAAAAAGGUUGCUUGGUCCGAUGAAUCCCGGUUCUUUUUGCAUCAUUCUGAUGGCAGUCAGGAUUGGUGUACCUAAUAAACUCACCGCUGGGUGUAUUUUACAUGUUGAUUACUGUGAGGGUGGGGGCAUCUCUAAAUAUAAUGUCCAAAAGAAUAAAACAUUAUUAUACAUA